rnacentral:rRNA from 1 species
AAAGCGUGCGCAGGCGGUUUUGUAAGUCUGUCGUGAAAGCCCCGGGCUUAACCUGGGAAUUGCGAUGGAGACUGCAAGGCUUGAAUCUGGCAGAGGGGGGUAGAAUUCCACGUGUAGCAGUGAAAUGCGUAGAGAUGUGGAGGAACACCGAUGGCGAAGGCAGCCCCCUGGGUCAAGAUUGACGCUCAUGCACGAAAGCGUGGGGAGCAAACAGGAUUAGAUACCCUAGU